UAAGAUCCCAUCUUUCACUGUACAUAUUUACACAGCUUUAACUUCCUCUUUCAGGUAGUCGAGCUCCUUCCUGCUGUGACCUGCUUUGUUCUAACUCUGCUGAGUCAAAGUGUGACCAGCCUGAUGUUAAGGAGAAGGACUGUGCAGCAGAGAGGCUGCUUAGUUUCUUCAUUCUGCUCUCUGAAUAACCCAACAACUAAAGACAUGCUUCUUUACAUCAUUUUACUUUUCUUUCAUAUCAAAGAGUGUAAAGGAGAAGACAAAGUGAUCCAGCCAGCAGGAGAUGUGACUGCUACUGAAGGAGUUUCUGGACCAAAUCACAAACUUCAUGUCCAGGCUCAACAACACCAUCAGCUCCCUGGACAGCCUUCCAGAUGACCUCAAUGAGUUUUACACCUGCUUUGAGACCUCCACCCCACCCUCACCCCCACCACCUGUCGUCUUACCAGUCCAGGUACACAAAGUCCUGAGGAGGAUCAACCCAUGCAAAGCUGCAGGACCUAACAACAUUCCUGGGUGGGCCCCCAGAGCACGUGCUAAUGAGCUGGCUGAUGUUUUCACCUCCAUUUUCAACCUUUCCCUAAGACAAUGCACUGUUCCCACAUGCUAUAAGACCACCACCAUCGUCCCCCUCCCUACCUGAAUGACUACAGGCCAGUAGCACUCACUCCAAUCAUUAUGAAGUGCUUUGAGAAAGUGGUAAUGUCCUACACUCAGAGAAGUAUACCAGACACUAUAGACCCCUGCAAUAUGUCUACAGAGCCAACAGGUCCACCUCAGAUGCUAUCGCCACUGCCCUUCAUGUCUCCCUCUCUCAACUGGAAAAUAAGGAUUCAUACGUCAUAAUACUCUUUAUUGACUACAGCUCCACCUUCAACAUGGUCGUCCCCCACAAACUCACCCAUAAGCUGUCAUUUCUUGAACUACAUCCCACCCUCUGUAACUGGCUCUUGAACUUCCUGACUGGCAGGCCCCAGUCUGUCAAGAUUGGAAACAGGACCUCAGGCAGCAUCACCACUAACACUGGUCCCCCGCAGGGCUGUGUGCUCAGCCCUAUCCUCUACACCCUGUUCACCUACGACUGUGUCGCCUCACACCCCUGUGGACAGCAACCUCACCCUCAACAUAGACAAGACCAAAGAGAUGAUAGUGGACAUGAGGAAGGAGAGGAGAUAUUGAUAUUGAAUGGAUCUGACAGUGGGAGUCCUCAAGGUCUCGGAUAAACACCAGUUUAUCCGAGACCUUGAGGUGGGGAGGGUGAGCACCUUUAAGUACCUCGGGGUCUACAUCAGCGAUUACCUCUCCUGGAACCUGAACACCACACAGGUGUUGAAGAGGGCCCAGCAGCAGCUGUACAUUCUGAGGAGGCUGAGGAAAUUUGGCAUGUCAACCAAAAUCCUCAGUGACUUCUACAGAUGUAUCAUUAAAUCCAUCUUGACCAGUUACAUCACUGUGUGGUAUGGCAGUGCUACUGUGAAGGACCGCAAAUGCCUGCAGAGAGCGGUAAAGACUGCCACAAAAAUCACCGGGACUGCACAACCCUCUGUGCAGAGCAUCUACCAUCACAGAGUCCACAGGAGAGCUGCCUCCAUUAUCAAAGACCCCACCCACUCCCAACAUGGAUUAUUUACACUUCUACCUUCAGGCCGGAGGUAUAGAAGUGUGAAAUGCAGGACUACCAGACUAAAGAACUCUUUCUUUCCUACGGCCAUUAGAUUCCUAAACAGCUGAGCUGAUAACCCUCUCAUAGACAUUACUGUCAUUGUUUAUUUGUCUGCAUAGAGCUGCACAUGUAUGUUCAGACCUUUUU